rnacentral:sRNA from 1 species
CUUGGAGAAGCAAGAAGCAGUUGGUUAGUGUUUUGGAGUCGAAUAUGACUUGAUGUCAUGUGUAUGAGUGAGUAUAAACACUAGAACCGCAACGGAUCUUAAAAGCCUAAAUAUUGUAUCCUUGUUAGAAGAUACAUAGACAAAGACUCAUACAGAAUUCGGCUAAACCAUCAAAGCUUUUAGAAGCAAGAAGAAGCUUGGUUAGUGUUUUGGAGUGAAAUAUGACUAGAUGUCAUGUGUAUGAGUGAGUAUACCAACUAGAACCACAAUUGGAAUUUUAAAAGCCUAAGUAUUGUAUCCUUGUUAGAAGAUACAAAGACAAACACUCAUACGGACUUUGGCUACAUCAUCAAAGCUUUGAGAAGCAAGAAGAAGCUUGGUUAGUGUUUUGGAGUCGAAUAUGACUUGAUGUGAUGUGUAUGAUUGAGUAUAAGAAAUUAAACCACAACCGGAUCUUAAAAGCCUAAGUAGUGUUUCCUUGUUAGAAGAUACAAAGGCAAAGCCUCAUACGGACUUUAGCUAUACCAUCAAAGCCUUGAGAAGCAAGAAGAAGCUUUGUUAGUGUUUUGGAGCCAAAUAUGACU